CAGCCGUAAACUAUGCUCGCUAGGUGUCAGGCAUGGCGCGACCGUGUCUGGUGCCGCAGGGAAGCCGUGAAGCGAGCCACCUGGGAAGUACGGCCGCAAGGCUGAAACUUAAAGGAAUUGGCGGGGGAGCACAACAACGGGUGGAGCCUGCGGUUUAAUUGGACUCAACGCCGGGAAGCUCACCGGAUAAGACAGCGGAAUGAUUGCCGGGCUGAAGACUCUGCACGACUAGCUGAGAGGUGGUGCAUGGCGUAGACGUCU
rnacentral:rRNA from 1 species